GUAAUAUUUAUUAACAUAUUUUGACUAAGACUAUGGAAAUAUUCAAUCAUAAUAAUAAUCAAAAUCAAUAACUAAUAAAAAACAAUAUCUUAACAAGAUAUUAUAAGGUAAGGAAUUUAUUUUUAUAUUAUUUUGACUACAAUCCAAGAAAUUAAGCUCAAGGAUACUUCGAUAAAAUUUUCCUUUUAUGCAAAUUUAUGUUAUUAUAUAUACAACAACAUAAAUCAAAAUAAAACACUAAACAAAAAUUAAGAAAAGUUCAUACAAAAUGGGUUUCUCCAAAAACAUAUUGAUCACAUUUGUUUUCACCAUCUUCUUAGUAGUAUCUAAUGUUCAUUGCUACCCAGACUUUGAAGUAAAACAAGACUACAAAAAAUGCUACAUUCCGUGUAAACAAAUAGCCGAAGGAUGUGCGAGGUUUUGUGCAGCUAUGACCAUUCAGUUAGUUGGUGAAUGUAUUUCUGAUAUAUGUUGUUGUAGGUCAAAAUUGCCAAAUUAACAUUAUUAGAGAUUAUACAUUUUGUACCAGUGUCAAGAGUGCUAAUAAAGAUCCAAAUCAA